rnacentral:rRNA from 1 species
GACGAACCGUGCAAACGUUGUUCGGAAUCACUGGGCUUAAAGGGCGCGUAGGCGGGCCAGCCAGUCUGUGGUGAAAGCCUCCAGCUUAACUGGAGAAGUGCCGUGGAUACUGCUGGCCUCGAGGAGGAUAGGGGCAUCUGGAACGGUCGGUGGAGCGGUGAAAUGCGUUGAUAUCGACCGGAACUCCGGUGGCGAAGGCGGAGGUGCUGGGUCCUUUCUGACGCUGAUGCGCGAAAGCCAGGGGAGCAAACGGGG